AUGCCGUGAUGAGGGCACUUUUGUAAUAACUCCUUGAACUGCUCCCAUGCCUCAUAUAAAGAUUCUUCAUCAAGUUGAUGAAAUGAUGUGAUUUCAUUUCGGAUCUU
rfam:Gossypium raimondii Chr11_contig_705, whole genome shotgun sequence.